rnacentral:lncRNA from 1 species
AACCAAACCCCACCCUCUCUCAUCUCUAAUAGCUCAGAGACGAGCUCGUCUCUCACCGCCUAACUUCACCGCCCUCUGCCCGCCGGAAAUCGCCUCACAGCAGUUCCGGUGGUCCAAACGACCCCAUCUUUACACCAUAAAACCCCCUCACCCUCCUCUUUCCGAAUCCCCACUCCACCGCCUUCAAAUCAUCCCUGAGUUCUUCGAAUCUUAGAUCGAAGAACUGACCCCUAACCCUAGUUCACCCAAAUGCCUCCAGCUUCACACCACAGCUCCGCCAUGACCUUUUCUCUCCAAAUCCACCCUCCCCUUCCUUCGAAUAUAAUCCGAGUCACUCGAAUCUCGAUUUUGAGCCAAUAACCCUAGCGCCGCCACAAGAUCCCCUGGUGGCGGCGCCACCUCCAAACCAUCCCUAAAUCACACCCCACAACCAUCUUGAACUCCUCAUACACCAUACAUUAUUGUUUUCCCUCGAAUAUUACUACGUCCUCUCAAAUCUCAAAUUUGAGUCUAAGCCCUAAAGUUUCAAAAUCGAUUCUCGAUGAGUUGUUGGCAUACGUAGACUCAGGACUGUGUUCCCAUAACAAGGAGAUUGGACUCACUGUAGGAACUGAUGCUUGUCAUUUGUUCUUAACAAAAACAAUGAUUAGCCUCCGUUCCCUGUGAGUCAAGACGCCAAGUGAGUUCAAAGUUGAAUCGGUGAGCCCCUGUGGUACUUUCUUCCCAUUUUACUCGAUUCACCGUUGCUUCUCCCUCUUUUCUUCUACGUGUAUUUGAUUGUUUCAUUUUCUGGUUAAAAUUGCAAUUUACUUCGAACCACAUUUCUUUACUUUAGAUUAGUUUAGCCGUUCGUAUUUUUGUUAAUUUUAGUUUUCCUGUUCAAUUUAGUUGUUUCUGUUAGUUCUUAUUUUCUAAUUUUAGAUAUGUUAAUCAACCUCUGUAUUUAAUUGUUGAUGUCUGCACCUACCAUAUGAAUCAUUAGAUUUCUAGCUUUUCAUUUUCACGAUUUAUACAAAUCAGUUAACUUGUGUUUAGUCAGCAUGUUCGUGUCUCGUGGUGUUCUGAUUCCUCUUUUGAAAUAAUUAUAUUAACUGUUUCGGAAGUCGAAUAUCAAAUAGGUUUGUUCAUUGAUUGUUUUUUGCUAAUGUCAUGAUAAGUAUGUUUUAGAGAAUCGUUUGUCUUGGUUAUAAUAAUUCAAAGCUUUAUGGGGCUUUAGGGGUUUUAAGUAAAAAUUGAAACGGCAGUAGAGCUGACACCUUGUCUAUUACCUUUAGAGAGUGGAAAACCAGAAGCAACAUGGGUUGUCAGGGCACACCUAAUUUAAAUAUCAGGUUGUCCAUACCAGCUGAAUAGAAUAAUAGGAAAAGGGGGUAAUGGGGUACUGAGAUUCCUGUUCUAGUGUUUGAAAGUUAGAGGGUGAUGAGGGGAAAUUAUUUUUUAAUUAUUGGAAGUGCUUUUAAGAGUUAGAAAAGGAUGAGUUAGAGGGAUAUAAUUACACAUAGACACAUUCUGAAAGAGAAAAUACCAUCUGAAAAGAGAGAGUUCAAAAAGAGAGAGGAAGAGAGUUUAAGAGCUUGGGGGGAAAGUGAUCAGUUUCUUUUAGAGAGUGCUGGAGAGUUUAAGAGCAGAAAACCAAAAAAAAUAUGUUUCAUUGCAUCCGUAGAUGUAAUUCGAGUUCUAGACAGCGAUUCUUAUUCCUUUUGAUUACUUAAGUGGUUCAGUGGUCUACUGGUUCAGUUUUGGGUUUAAUACAAGCUUGGUUGAGUCUAUUUGUCUUGGUAUUUGCUGUUGUUGUUUGGGUUUUUUACAAACUUUCUGGGUUGUGUUUGUGACUGUUUGGAACUUCAAAUUGUUGUUGUGAACUGCUGUUGUAUUGCUGCUCGAAUUACUGCAGCUGCUGAUCUUUCUUCUACUUUAUUUCUGUUCCAAUUCCAGGUACACAGCUUGACUUCAAUAAUUGUGAAGCUGAAAUGUAAAGGAUGAACUUGUAAUUGAAGCCUGAAGAUUUUAAUUUAAUUCAGUUUCUGAUUUGUAUAUUUGAAUGUAUUGUUCGUUAAGGAUGUUUAGACUCUUGUUUACAGUUGCGUUGGUUGAACUGAACAGGGCUAUGUAAUAACUGGA